UUUCUCACACGCCACCUACUGCUCUCAGGUUACGACUCAAGAAUGAGGCUCCAAGAGAGAUGGGACUGCUCUGAGGGUGGUUGCCCCUCUAUGCACCAUCAACCUCUCAAAUCAACAUCUUGCACGCCACCUCUCAAGAGCUCAAGAACUCAAGAGCUCUACCACUCAUCUUUCUCUCUGUUUAGACCACCAUUGUUUCUUUCCUCUCCACUCCGCGGACUACAAGAAGCUUCUUCUUCAUUUCUGGUCAGGGAACUCUUUUAUCUGUUUCUGUUUCUGCUUCUGCUCUUUUUUUCUUUUCUUCUUCUGCAGCACACACAUUGUAUUGAGGCUUAUAUAUAUUUGGGUAUGCUACCCACUUUUUUUCUUGGAUAUAAAAAGGUUUCCACUUCAUCAACGGAAAAACGAGAAAAAUAAAAAAGAAAGAGAUGAAUUUGCAAGUAGUUUAGACAGCAAGAAGUAUGAAAUCCUGGCAAAUAAUAUGUUUGUGCUUCCUUGCAACCGCUUUGCUUUGCGUUUCAAAAAGCUUCAUCACGUCUUCUACUUCCACUUCCUCUCUGAUUUUUCUGCCACAAAGGCGACUCAUGAGCUCAUCAUCCUUCGUCCAGCAAGCAGAAUACUAGAGAAUCAAGGUAGAAUUGGGUCCGGAUGAUAUUGAUCGAUCACUUCAAUCUAUAUCAUCCCGUAUAUAAGAAAAAGUUGCCAGAAAAAAACAACUCUACAGAAAACUGGAGCAUGAUUGAACUGAACCCAAAUGGAUUUUAUAGAAAACACAAACAUUCAUAUGUAACUAACCAAAAAAAUCAGAGUAGAAAUUGAAUAACCAAAUCAAAACCAAAUGGAUUUGACAUAGAUUGAAUAACGUUGAAUUAAUUACUCUACAUAGUUCAAGAACAUAGAUUGAAUAAAAUAGAUUUAUGAUUACUCUUUUCUCGACUAUGGUUUCGGUUGUGAAAAUCGCACUAUCUCUUUUACUCUAUUUCUUCUUCAUAUUUCCUUUUUUCUGAACGAAUUGGGUCCAGUUUCGUCCAAUGUUGUUGAAUUAAAGCUCUCUGUGAAUGGUAAUUACUUAUUUUGCUGAUUUUCUGUUGCUUUUCUAAUUAAUCUUUUCGAACUGCGUAGUGCCCAUUUUUUGAAAUUCCUUUCUCUGUUUCUACUCUUUUUUUAUUUGUUGGGUAACAUCCCGUCAAGUACUGAGCUAUGUUUAAGGGUGCGGGAUGGUUAAGUGCUCUGAUUUUGCAGCCUCAUCUCGGCAUGCCCACAAGUUGUUUGAGUUAAUGCCUGAGAGAAACCUUGGCAUUUUUUUCUUGUGCACUGAUUUCUCUAUUUUCACUUUUAUGGCAUUUCUCUAAGAUUUCUACAUUUUUUUUGGAAACUAUUUUCACCUAAGUGUUGAUGGUGUACAACGUGUACCUGUGCUUGUUGGUGUAGUUAAUUAUGUAUGUGCUGCAAGUGUAUGAUAAUAUGCCUUUGUGAAGCUGUGUAUGUUUUUUUAACUGAUAUGAAACUGUGUGCGCGCGCGGCUGUGCGUAUGUAUUUUUGGGUUUAGCUGAUUUUCUCAAAUUAUGGGCUCUGUCUGAAUCAGAGAACCAGCUAUUAUAGCGGCGUCGGCGGGAGCAAGAGUUGCACUACUAAGAAGAUGUGUUAUUUGUUUGAGCGACGUUGUUUUUGGGAUUCAUCCUAAAGCACAUAUUUUUGAUGGUUUGUACUGAGACAUGGGUUCAAACUUUUCUAAUAUUUCUUUUCUUUUUUUUUUAUUUCCGGUUCAAACUUUUCGAUUAUACCCUUUUUGUGAGGAAAAAAAAUCCAAUACUUAUGCCCUUUCACAAUCGAAAGGUUGGUGGGUUUUAGUAGGAAGCUUUUAACCCAUCACUUGUUUGCUGGGAAAUUAUAAGUGAACCAUUAAUUUAUGAAUAUGAGAUUUUAGGUUACGCAAUAUUGUAUACUCCGGUAUGAUUGUUUGGUUUAGUAUGGUUUAGUUUUUUUCCUUUCUGCUCUUGGGAACCAAAACACAUGUCAUAGUAUCCAAAUUGAGAAUAUAUCCAAUUGCAAAUGUAGAGAGAAAUGAUUAGAAACAACUGCAUUGAAUAUUUUUUUCUACUCAAAUUGAUAAAUUAUUUCCCGUUAAAAAUACUUAAAUUCCUUUGCCAAUUUUACAGUUUUUAAUAUUGAACAGUUAAUUCAUUUUCUGUACUUAUUCUAUGCUACCUUAUAAUUGCAGAGUGCGGGUGAUUUUUCUUUAAGUGGUGUAGUGCUGAGGCUCUAUAUUUUGAUUGCAACUCAAGGCUCCUUAUUUUGGGAGACCAAAAUGGGAUGGUGAAGUUCCCUCUGUUGAUUGAUCUUGGAAAAAAAAUUAUAAAAUAUAAUGAGUGCAGUCUGGAAAUGGAACAAUAAAUUAUUUUUAAUGCUGCGCAGAUUUCGUAUUUUUCGGCUUAAACCUGAGUCAUUCUCCUCAUUGAGCAGUUUUAGUUAUGUACUUUUUCAAAGUGUUUUAGCAGUCGACACUAUUGUUUUUCCUCAGGUAUAACUUUUUCCUCAGUGGAUGUGUUGUUUUGCACUCAAAUUUGUAUAACUUUUUUCUCAAUUGAUGUAUAUCUUUUCGCCCAACUCUAGAAUGAUUUAUUUGAUCUCAAAGUCCUGGUUUAUUGAUCUGGGAUUGAAGUUUCUUUUGUUUCCCGUGGGCUUCUUGGGUUUU
rnacentral:lncRNA from 1 species